UACGAGUGCCUCAAGCGUUAUCCGGAAUCAUUGGGCGUAAAGGGUGUGUAGGUGGUUGUGUUAGUCUUCCGUUAAAUUCUUCGGCUUAACCGGGGGCAUGCGGGGGAAACGGCACAACUAGAGGAUGGGAGAGGUUUGCGGAACUCAUGGUGUAGGGGUGAAAUCCGUUGAUAUCAUGGGGAACACCAAAAGCGAAGGCAGCAAACUGGCCCACUCCUGACACUGAAACACGAAAGCGUGGGUAGCGAAUGGG
rnacentral:rRNA from 1 species